GACGAACGCUGGCGGCGUGCUUAACACAUGCAAGUCGAACGAUGAAGCUAGAGCUUGCUCUGGUGAAUUAGUGGCGAACGGAUGAGUAACACGUGAGUAACCUGCCCCGAACUCUGGGAUAACUGCUGGAAACGGUAGCUAAUACUGGAUACGACCCUCGGCGGCAUCGCCAGGGGGUGGAAAGAAUUUCGGUCAAGGAUGGACUCGCGGCCUAUCAGCUAGUUGGUGAGGUAACGGCUCACUAAGGCGACGACGGGUAGCCGGCCUGAGAGGGUGACCGGCCACACUGGGACUGAGACACGGCCCAGACUCCGACGGGAGGCAGCAGUGGGGAAUAUUGCACAAUGGGCGCAAGCCUGAUGCAGCAACGCCGCGUGAGGGAUGACGGCCUUCGGGUUGUAAACCUCUUUUAGUAGGGAAGAAGCGAAAGUGACGGUACCUGCAGAAAAAGCACCGGCUAACUACGUGCCAGCAGCCGCCGUAA
rnacentral:rRNA from 1 species